rnacentral:rRNA from 2 species
ACAGGUCUGUGAUGCCCUUAGAUGUCCUGGGCCGCACGCGCGCUACACUGAAGGAAUCAGCAUGUUCUCCCAGGCCUAGAGGCCCGGGCAACCCGUUGAAACUCCUUCGUGCUGGGGAUUGGGGUUUGCAAUUAUCCCCCAUGAACGAGGAAUUCCCAGUA